UUGAGCAUCUCCGUAGACGAUUUGAAGUGCAUAAUCGCUGCGCACAUAGAUCUGGGAGCAUUCAUACCGGAUCUCCGCUUUUGUUGCCACGCAAAUUGAACGUAGAGCCUGUAGCACAGCUGAAAAAGAUCUCGAAGCUUUUUGAAGCGGAUCCCUGUUCACUCGACUUCGGAAAAAAAAAUUAUUAAAAAGGUCUUGCAGGGUGAAAGUCAACACAUGUAAAAGUGAAACACAUCUGCGAUUGAAAUUUUCCGAAUGAAUCCUAUAGCUAUUCCAAAAGGAUCUCUAUAAUAUUCGCCAGAGUCAGGAUCGAUUG
rnacentral:misc_RNA from 1 species